ACAGACAAUGUGGUGGUCCUUUA
rnacentral:siRNA from 1 species